UAGCUCAGUUGGUAGGGCAUGCACUUGAAAUGCCAGGGUUGUGGGUUUGAUUCCCAC
rnacentral:tRNA from 1 species